rnacentral:rRNA from 1 species
GAUGAACGCUGGCGGCGUGCCUAAACCAUCCAAGCCAACCGAACCCCCUUCCUUGAUCUUCGGAUUGAAAGUUUGGUGCUUAAGUGGCGGCCGGGUGGGAACCGCGUGGUAAACUUGCCCUGUCCAGGGGGUAAACACCUGGAACGGGCUCUAAUACCGCAUAAGGGGACGAGGGAGAAUUCUCUUUGUUUGAAAAACCCGGUGGUACAGGAUGGGCCCGCGUCUGAUUAGCUGGUUGGGAGGGUAACGGCCUACCAAGGCAACGAUCAGUAGCCGGUCUGAGAGGAUGAACGGCCACAUUGGAACUGAGACACGGUCCAAACUCCUACGGGAGGCAGCAGUGGGGAAUAUUGCACAAUGGGGGAAAACCUGAUGCAGCAACGCCGCGUGAGUGAAGAAGUAUUUCGGUAUGUAAAGCUCUAUCAGCAGGGAAGAUAAUGACGGUACCUGACUAAGAAGCUCCGGCUAAAUACGUG